rnacentral:rRNA from 1 species
GACGAACGCUGGCGGCGUGCUUAACACAUGCAAGUCGAACGGAGCGAAUGAAAGCUUGCUUUUAUGAGCUUAGUGGCAAACGGGUGAGUAACACGUAGACAACCUGCCGAUCAGAUGGGGACAACAUUCCGAAAGGAAUGCUAAUACCGAAUGAAGUGUGGGGGAGGCAUCUUCCCUACAUGAAAGAUGGCCUCUAUUUAUAAGCUAUCACUGAUCGAUGGGUCUGCGUCUGAUUAGCUAGUAGGUAAGGUAACGGCUUACCUAGGCGACGAUCAGUAGCCGGUCUGAGAGGAUGAACGGCCACAUUGGGACUGAGACACGGCCCAGACUCCUACGGGAGGCAGCAGUGGGGAAUCUUCCGCAAUGGGCGCAAGCCUGACGGAGCAAACGCCGCGUGAGUGAAAGGAGGUCUUUCGGAUCGUAAAAGCUCUGUUGAAAGGGGACGAACCAUUCGAAGGGG